GCCCGGGUGGCGAAAUUGGUAGACGCAGUGGAUUCAAAAUCCACCGGUAGCAAUACCGUGUCGGUUCGAGUCCGACCCCGGGCACCA
rnacentral:tRNA from 1 species